rnacentral:rRNA from 1 species
GACGAACGCUGGCGGCGUGCUUAACACAUGCCAGUCGAACGGAAAGGCCCCUUUGGGGGUACUCGAGUGGCGAACGGGUGAGUAACACGUGAGUAACCUGCCCUUGACUUCGGGAUAACUUCAGGAAACUGGGGCUAAUACCGGAUAGGAAUCCUUGCUGCAUGGUGGGGGUUGGAAAGCUUCGGCGGUUUUGGAUGGACUCGCGGCUUAUCAGCUUGUUGGUGGGGUAGUGGCUUACCAAGGCUUUGACGGGUAGCCGGCCUGAGAGGGCGACCGGCCACAUUGGGACUGAGAUACGGCCCAGACUCCUACGGGAGGCAGCAGUGGGGAAUAUUGCACAAUGGGCGGAAGCCUGAUGCAGCAACGCCGCGUGCGGGAUGACGGCCUUCGGGUUGUAAACCGCUUUCAGCAGGGGCGAAGCUUGUGGUGACGGUACCUGCAGAAGAAGCAUCGGCUAACUACGUG